CCGCGCCUCGGCGGGCGGCGGCGGCCAGGGCAGGCGGACUACAGCUCCCAGGGCGCCGGCGCGCGCAUGGGCCGUGGCGCCGCGGCGGCCCCGCGGCGGCGGCGGGGCGCUGUGCUUCCGCGUCUCUCGCUCGGGGCGCCGCGGCCGGCCGGGGGCCGGGAGCUGCCUGUGCUGGGGGGCAGCGGGUCCGAGGGGCCGGGUCUUUUGGAAGGGGAUCCAGUCGCAUCCGUUUUUAGGACGUUUCCCUGCACCAGCUAAGACAACGCCCGGGCUCCCGGCAGGAUAUUUUAAGCCCUGUUCCAGGUGAGGCAGCGCAGCCGUGCUCUGCCCCGCUGCCCUGUGUGCACGGGAGCAGGAGGUGUAUCCGCGUCUGCGUCCCCGUCCCGGCGUCCUGGACUUUGACCCUGCGGCACUACCCGGAGGACUGAUAUGUUCCUCGGUUAUCGUUAGCAAAAGGUCUCCUGCUUGGCUGUGCUGGCCUUUGCGCUGCCACUGUUGCAAGCGGUUUGGAAAGAACCUGAUCGGUGAAGGCCACUGAAAAAGAUGAGACGCUGUAUGAGACGAGAAAGUUGGCCAUUCCUUUCAGGAACUGUGCCAAAAGGCUUUGUUUGCAUCCAGAGACAUUCCCCCCACAAAUACUGAUCUUUUGAGAUGCAGCUGCACCCCACUAACCACAGGUAGCUGCUUCUGAGUCUGUUUCUAAUACCACGUUUUCUAGGCUCAGAUUUACUUGGCCUUGCCCAGGAACAAGCUUUCCAUGACACUGGAUUCAUCACUCAGCUGCAACAUGGUAGGUAGCGGGUGUAACACUGUUUAUGCUGACCAAGCAGCAUGUGAGUCCCGCUGCCCAGCAACCUGAAUCUAAGUCAUACACCUGCAGUAAGUCCCUUACACAGCUGGUCAUUCAUUUUAUCCUCUUUCAUUCUGAUUCGCUCAACUACUUUAACCAGGUGCCAGGCAUACACUCAGACCCCAGGUAUUUCAAUGUGUUCAGUUCGACCUAUACAUCUUACAUGAGAAUUUAACAUUUUUAGAGCUGCACCUCCUCCUGCUACGACACCACUGGUGUCUUUUGCCAACAUUUUGAGCCUUUUGAUGGACUAUGGUCAUGUUCCCAAGCUUCCUAUUAUUUCAGUUGCAAAAGUACAAUGAGUAGAUUCAGGGCUAGGUAGCACUUGCCUUAGGCUGUAGAAGAGACCUAAUCUGACCUGAUGUGAUUCAGCAGUUCCUCCGCUUGUGGUAAUACUGUGAACUUUGCUAACCUGUUUUUCCUUUAGUUCAUGAUGCUGCACGCUGAUUAUGUUAACAGUAUCAGCGCUUUCACUUAUGAUUAUUGCAGGCAUUGUUAGCUCUACUGGCUCAGCAAGAGCAGAAUGGUGGUUGAACAUGCUCUUACAAAGACCAAGGUAAGAUGCAGGUAUCUUCUGAAACGAAACAAUGCUUUUGGUGAUUCUGUCUGUGCUGUUUCAGCCUCGUCUGUGCUGCAGUGCUGAGAGCAUUGAAAAAGGAAGAAGUUUAUCAAACAAAAUACUUUGGCAUUUCUAUGGCCAGCUAUGUCAGGGGCGCAGGGGUGCAUAGCUGCUGACAGCAGCAGACGUGCUACUAUCGUUAGAGGUGCUCUCUGCCAGGCUUGUGCAAAUGAUGCAGCUGACAUCAUUGAUAGCUGUGGUAUGGUUGCUGGAGUGUACAUGACUGUAAAUUGUGCUCUGAUCCAUAUUUGCAGAGGGUUGCUGUAAUUGAAUGCCCCAUUAAUUAGCAAUUACAAGAUGGGUCACUAGUGUCUGCUAAGUGGCCUAGUGUAAUACAUAAAUCCGGUUCUUAAAACCCCUCAAAUCCUGGGAUUGUUUUGAGGUCAAUGCUGAAGGGAUUCAGACGUCAAUAGUCAAGAGAGGCCUUGGCAGCUGAUUCAUGUAUUUUUUCAGCAUUUUAACUGUCCUUAAGAUGCAUUUUUUUUAUUGAAACUGAGCCUUGCUGAAUAGUUAUCAGCCACAGCAGAGUAUAUUUGAGGUCACUUUAUUAAUAUAUGAUACGCAUGUGACUGUUUUAGGCAUAGGUGUUUCCGAGAUUGGGGUGGAGAGGCUGAGUGCACUUCCACCCUUGCUCCCUCCCUCUCUUUUCUUUCUCUUUUUGUUGACAAAUUAUUUUAACAUAAGGUUUCUUAGGAACUGAUAACAGUGAUUAUGACAUUAGCUAGUCAUUCUGUUGUCUUCCAUGAUCUCUGGAUCAUAGAAAAUAGAGACCUUGUGAGAGAUUUGAAUCCAGACCCUUAACCAGUUGCAGAGUGAGUCAUCAGAGAUGGGCAUUUGUCUAACCCUUUCCUAACAUGUUCUUAAGGACUUCCAAUAAUAAAGGAAUCGGCACCACCCAAAAGAAUCCUAGCAUAAGAAAUUCUUAAGAUUGGGAAAGUUGUUCAAGUGUCUAACCUAAAUUGGUAUUUGCUUGAAUUUAAGCCGAGUAGUUCUUUUCUUCCUCACUGCAGAUGUGAAGGACAACUUAUUCCCCAUGUCUUUGUAGCAGUUGUGACCUGUUUAAAUAUUAUCAUCUCUCCUUUUGCCUUCUCCAGACUAGUGAAUCUUAGAAUUUUCUUCAUGAGUCAUGAAUGCUAGACAGUGGAGGUGGGUGCUAGGCUGGAGCUGGUACUAUGUAGCACAGCUGGGCUUUGACCUUUACCUGUUAAAUGCACUUGAGCAGACCAUUGCUAAGAUCCUAAUUUGGUGGGAUACUUUACCACAUCUGGCCGUUUAAGCACAUGAGUAAGCCUGCUGCUGUCCAUGUGAUUACUGCUGUUUGAAGUGCAGGAGUUUAGGAGGGGCCUACAGUAUCCUGUAAAAAUACAGAACAGAACUGUUCUACAGGCAAAUUGAGGUGGCAGUGAAAAGUACAGGCCAGGAAACAAACCUGGAGGGCUUUGAUGACCCUUGCCUCAUGAUUACUGACUAAGGCUGGCUUUAUGAAGUACGUGCCGUGUCCAUGUUCCGGUUAUCUGUAAUGCUGUACAUUGUGACUCAUUUCAGAGUUUGUAAACAACAGGAGAAGAACUUAAAAGUGCUUAUUUGAUAACAAAGGUGACUCUGCUUCUCCCUAUCUCUCCCAUUACCUCUGAUGACUAAAGAGUUUAUCUGGCAGCAGUUCUCCCAGUCUGACUGACAAAACAGAGGCUUCUGAAGAGAAUAUGAUUCUUGCCUUCCCAGGGUUUUUUCGUCUUUCUGUUUUGGCUUCCUCCCGCCCCCUUGUAGUGUCCAGAUGUCUUCAAGUUUGCUUUACUCCGCUUUUAUUUUCAGCCCUCUCUAGCCGUAAAUUUCCCAUCAUUUACUAUUCUCCUUAUUUCGCCCUUUCCCCCUUUAUUAAGAUGGUGUGAUUUUUACAAUGUGGAGGGCUGGGCACAGGUUUGGGACAUCCAUCGCAGGCCACAAAACUGUAACAGCUCAUGGCUCUAGGUACCUGGCCAAGAAGGCACUUGCAUUUCAUUCCCUGACACUUCCUUGGCCGUCUGUAAGGCCCCUGCAGAAAUGGCAUAGGAAGGGUAGGACUGUCCCACCUGUGAGAGCCAGGGCCCAGUCACUAGUCAGGAUGUUCUGUUUUGAACAUUACUGGGUUUGGGACACUAGCAUGGAAAAUAAGGAAAUAUAGGUAUUGCUUAGAAAUACUGUUCCCAGCGUGGGUGUUUAGGGUGGGUUAUCUGCACCUGAGCUAGACAAGAAGACUGAUAUUAAAGAAACAACUCAAAAAAAAAAAAAAAAAAACCAACGCCUGGAUUAGGAAGAUGGUACUGUUUCACUAAGAACCAGGAGAUCAGGAUACACUGAUGGGUUUUAGUCCGCCCUGAGGCGUGAGGCACGGUCAAUAGCUGCCGCAGGUGGACACAGGAAUGCGGUGGGCCCGGGGCUGCGGGGAGCUGGCUGCAAACAGCGCCCGAGGGGAGAGACGGCACCGCUGCGCUGUGCCAGGGCCGUAGGGAGCCAUGUCUUGCACCACAGGCCAGGCUGUAGCCACGUGCGCCUCUUUGUGAUUACAAGACCUUUCAUGCGUCCUGGGCAGCUUCUGGCAAAAUAAAUCCCAUUCAGCUUUGGAGAAGCUUCUUCAGUGUUACUGUAUAUACAGAUUUUGGGCCCUGAAAGAAAACACCUCCGCGUGCCAAGGCUGUUGGACUCUUUCCAUAACAGCUGGCGCCGGCCGAACGGUUGGAUUUACUGGCAGGGCUCCUUGGCGGGAAGCGGCCCCGUCAGGCUGUGAGGGGCGCCGGCGCCCCGGGAGAGCUGCCGUGAUGGGACCUGGGGCCGCUCCGUCGGCGGGAGAGCCGUCGUGAGGGGACCCGGGCGGCCCCGCGGCGGGAGAGCCGCCGUGAGGAGACGGGCCGGCGGAAGGCGACGGCGCUUUUGCGGGCGGCGGCGCUCCCUGGCGGCCCCUGGCGGCGCUGCGGCGGGGGCGCCCCGCCGUCCCGGGCUGCUCUCGGUCGGAGGGGCCGGCACCGCCCGCCGCAGUCACUUCCAACCCGCCGCAAUCGCUUUCUUUUCGGACUUGGGUUUUAGCCAAGUGCAGGUGCGAACAAGAAGUACAGGCAGAAUAAAUUGGUCUAGCUCCACAGAAUUCACGUGGUUCUGACUUUGCUGGAAGACAGACAGAUGUUUGAAGCUCACUCUUCAUAUUUGUGUUAUUAUUUAGGAAAACAAUCCACAGACCAACUCUAGAAUCCAUCAUACUCUACAGUGAGCCCCAAAGUAUGGAGCGUAUUUUUGUAGCUCUGGAGAAGGGAGCCUCGUCUAAACUGCGUUAACUCUGCCAAGGAGGAAAUUAAAGUAAAACUCUACUGCUGCCAAACGUGAUAUUGCCUAUUACUCAUGCAAAGAAGGCCAGGCUAGGCUAGGGACUGCAGGUUACCAUAUGAAAAGGAGGCCAGCCAGAGCCAAUAACCUAUAUAGUAUGAGUUUACCUGCUCCUGAGGGUUACAACCUCCAGCACCACUGUGAAUAUUUCAAACUUGUCCCUUCAGUGCUGCAUCGUCGACCAAGAGCUGUCUAAUGCGGCUACACCUGCUUCCAUUAAAAUUGAUCUGGUAAACCAGAGCGGCCACACCGCAUACUGGCUUGCCUCCACCUCCUCUGAAUGCUACAACUUACCCUUAAAAUUCUUACAAAGUUUGGGGUCAAUCUAUCACAAAUGGUUGCUCAGCUCAAAAUAACACAGCUUGGGUGACGGAAGCUGUUAGCUGUGUCAGCACAGGGCUGUUUUCAGGAUCUUUUUUGUGGGAAGGGUGCAGAGGGAGCAGUGCAGUAUUGCUAGUGACAGCUAGAGGGAGAGAGACAUGCUCAGGGCUUUUCUUGUCCCGGUGUUCAGCACACUCCUGCAUCACCAGGAAGCAGUCAAAGCUCAUGUUUCUUCGCCGGAAAGGCUAGAAAAGGAGGCGGAUGUGUCUGUAAGGGAGCCUUGGAUUGCACAAGUUAAUCUUCCUGUUCAUUAGAGGUAACCAGAAGCCCAACAACAGAAUAUAAUGCUGCUAAGCUUUGGAAGACAAGGAGGAACAAUGGAGCUAUUGCAUCUGGUCUUGUUCCUGCAGAGAAACAAUUAUUGUACAAUGCUGUCUUCCGAUAAUAACAGUCUGGAUUAGAGCUGCAGAGCAGAAAAGUCUGGGCUAAAGCCAACUUGCAAUCCUUAGCACACAAUAUUCUGUAUCAGAUUUGAAAGCUGUAUGGCAGCUGUAUGGGAGGCUUUUGGUGUAAUCCCUGUAAAUAAAUAAAUGAGUUAAAGGCAGGAUUGGGAAGCACUGAAAGUCACUAUUGAUGCCAAUGGGAGAUGUGGACACAAGGAAUGAAAGAAUGGGUCCAAAAUCUUAGUUUAAAGUUAUACUGAAAACUCUUUUUUUAGCAACGAGACUUUUAUGUUAAAUUCUUUCCUUUUUACAUGUCCACUAACAACUCCAGAAAAUAAGUAAAGACUGUCAGCUUGAAGUCAACAGGGUGCUGACUGCUGUCCGCUGACUCCUCAGGAGGAUGUUCCGAGAAAACAACAAGUUAGUUUUGGAGUAGGUGAUGCAGGGGCUUCCCCACAUCCCUAUGGGAGAUUAAUAUCAAAUAGCCUGUUCACUGAUGAAUUCCCCCACUGGGAUGAGCUCUAAGAUUCCUUAUUUCUGUGUGGGUUCAUUUAAGAACAGAUUUUGCAGAAGUGAAGUCAGUGGUGAAGCUCUGUCUCACUUCAGCGGCUACAGGAUCUGGCUCUAGGAGGCAGUCCACAUAAGGUUAAAAAAUAUGUUUUUUACUGCAAGCAAGAACUUUCAAAAGAUAUUUUUCCUGACAAACUUGUAUCAGUAGAAUAAUCAAGCUUAUUGAGUGUUCUGACAUCUUCCACGGGAAAUAAUGGAGUCUUGAAGUUUUACAGAAAUGUCUUUUAUCGAGAAGAUUAUUCAGUUAAUGAAGUUAAAAUAAAUCCUAUUCUUGCUCAAA